UACAGAGGUCCCAAGCGUUGUUCGGAUUCACUGGGCGUAAAGGGUGCGUAGGCGGUCGGGUAAGUCUGAUGUGAAAUCUCACAGCUUAACUGUGAAACUGCAUUGGAUACUAUCCGGCUCGAGGAAUGGAGGGGAGACUGGAAUACUUGGUGUAGCAGUGAAAUGCGUAGAUAUCAAGUGGAACACCAGUGGCGAAGGCGAUCAUCUGGGAUUAACCUGACGCUGAGGAGCGAAAGCCAGGGGAGCAAACGGG
rnacentral:rRNA from 1 species